CAAUAGCGUAUACUAAUGUUGUUGCAGUUAAAAAGCUCGUAGUUGAACUUCUGGUAGGAGUGUCCCGGCCUUUUUGUUUUUACAAAUUGUAUGCUGUGUGACAUCUCAGGCCAUCCUUCUUCUUUGUUUAAAGAAGAUCUUUCACUGUAAAAAAAUUAGGGUGUUCAAAGCAAAAGUUUCUUUGGAAUAUAUUAGUAUGGGAUGAUAAGAUAGGCUCUAGAUGCUAUUUUGUUGGUUUGCACAUUUAGAGAAUGAUUAACAGGGACAGUUGGGGGUAUUCGUAUUUACAUGUCAGAGGUGAAAUUCUUGGAUUUUGGAAAGACGAACUACUGCGAAAGCAUUUACCAAGGAUGUUUUCAUUAA
rnacentral:rRNA from 1 species